GCCCUCACUGGCUCAGAUGGACAGAGCGUCUGCCAUGUAAGCAGGAGAUCCCGGGUUCGAGUCCCGGUUGAGGCA